GCCUCCCCGUAGCAGAACGUAACGGCAGGAACAGCCCUGCUGGAAGGCGCACAGGGCAAUGCCAUAGAAACCCACGUGCUGCUUCUUCCCUUUCCCCAGGCCCAGUCUUGGCCCUCCUCCUGUGAUGCCACUGGUGCAGGCACCAUCCAGCCCAUGCUUCCUGGAGCAGCAGCACUGAGGCCACUCAGGCACGUGUGGAAGGCACAAGGUGCAUGCCUGGGUCACAUCUCCCUUCAUGCGGCUUCCUCCUGCCCUGCUCCCAGCCCAGCCUCAGCAGGAAGGCUCCAGCUCCUGGUCCCAGCAGGCAGAGGAAGGUGGGAGCAGGCAGGUCACAGGUGGGAUGGGAAGAGCAGGGAGCCUGUGUUCACUGCCACCAGCACAGUGUGCAUAGUGCCGGGUAUCCCCUGCCUCCCCAGGCUCCCUGUGCUACGGCUGCUGCUGAUACUGGCUCUCUGUGGCAGUGAAGAAGUCCUCCAGGAUGCUCUGCACGUACUCAAAGGUGGGCCGGUCCUCAGGUCUGCUCCUCCAGCACCGCAUCAUAACCUCAUAGAGCUCCUCGGGGCAGUGCUCGGUGCGGGGCAUCCGGUACCCACGCUCCAGCGCCCUGAUCACCUCCACGUUCGUCAUCCCUGGGGGAACAGGGUUGGUGAAUGGGGCAUGAUUGCUUUAAAAGGCAAUGAAACCCCCAAAGCACCCUUUGGGCAAUGGCACCAGGAAGAAAAAGGGAUUAGAAGGGUUGGGAAGGGGGAAUUGCAACUCCUGGUCAGGGAAAUGCACAGACAACCGAGGUGCUGAGUGAGCUGUGGCAUGCAGGUUUGUACCCACUUGAGCAAACCAGGUGGCAAUUAUAAUGUUAUGUAUAAAUGUAGCAAAUAAAGGCUAUGCUUCUCCA